UACGAAGGGGGCUAGCGUUGUUCGGAAUCACUGGGCGUAAAGCGCACGCAGGCGGAUCGUUAAGUCAGGGGUGAAAUCCCGAGGCUCAACCUCGGAACUGCCUUUGAUACUGUCUGUCUUGAGUCCGGGAGAGGUGAGUGGAAUUCCUAGUGUAGAGGUGAAAUUCGUAGAUAUUAGGAAGAACACCAGUGGCGAAGGCGGCUCACUGGCCCGGUACUGACGCUCAUGUGCGAAAGCGUGGGGAGCAAACAGG
rnacentral:rRNA from 1 species